rnacentral:misc_RNA from 1 species
UAAAUUCUCAACUUUAAAGAUUUUGUUAUCUUUGAAGCUUGGACUAUGGAGGUUAUUUGCAGGCGAUUAACAUUGUCAGCUCCUCUUAAAUGCAUUAGCGGAACUCUUAAGUACCAGCUUUGGUUUGAUAAGUAUAUCUAUGCCGUCGCUGUGAAACUGUCAUGUUCAGCUUCUAAUGGUCUUCGGACUGUCUCUAACGAGAGGCAUACACUUUAA